rnacentral:rRNA from 1 species
AUUGAACGCUGGCGGCAUGCCUUACACAUGCAAGUCGAACGGUAACAGGUCUUCGGAUGCUGACGAGUGGCGAACGGGUGAGUAAUACAUCGGAACGUGCCCGAUCGUGGGGGAUAACGAAGCGAAAGCUUUGCUAAUACCGCAUACGAUCUACGGAUGAAAGCAGGGGACCGCAAGGCCUCGCGCGAACGGAGCGGCCGAUGGCAGAUUAGGUAGUUGGUGGGAUAAAAGCUUACCAAGCCGACGAUCUGUAGCUGGUCUGAGAGGACGACCAGCCACACUGGGACUGAGACACGGCCCAGACUCCUACGGGAGGCAGCAGUGGGGAAUUUUGGACAAUGGGCGAAAGCCUGAUCCAGUCAUGCCGCGUGCAGGAUGAAGGCCUUCGGGUUGUAAACUGCUUUUGUACGGAACGAAAAGACUCUGGUUAAUACCUGGGGUCCAUGACGGUACCGUAAGAAUAAGCACCGGCUAACUACGUG